rnacentral:rRNA from 1 species
GACGAACGCUGGCGGCGUGCCUAAUACAUGCAAGUAGAACGCUGAAGCUUGGUGCUUGCACCGAGCGGAUGAGUUGCGAACGGGUGAGUAACGCGUAGGUAACCUGCCUGGUAGCGGGGGAUAACUAUUGGAAACGAUAGCUAAUACUGCAUAACAGUAGAUAUCGCAUGAUAGCUACUUGAAAGGUGCAAAUGCACCACUACCAGAUGGACCUGCGUUGUAUUAGCUAGUUGGUGAGGUAACGGCUCACCAAGGCAACGAUACAUAGCCGACCUGAGAGGGUGGUGGGCCCACCUGGGAAUGGGAACAGGCCCCAACCUCUACGGGGAGGAGCAGUAGGGGAUCUUUGGACAUGGGGGGAAGUCUUACCGCGGCACGCCCGGGGGGUGGAGAAGGUUUUCGGGGUGGAAAGCUCUGUUGUAAGGGAAGGAAAAGUGGGAGGGUGGAAACUUCACGCUGUGACGGUACCUAACCAAAAAGGACCGGCUAACUACGUG